CACCUGCUCUGCCACACACCUCAGUCUGGACAACAAACUGGACGUCACUUUGGAGUUUGAUCACGGGGAACCAUUUAAAUCAGUGAUUCCUUCAGUUCUGACAGUUUUGGCUCUGAUGUUGGCGUUUGGGGCUGCAGCGGCUAUAUCUGCAUGGAAAAGACAACCUUCAGAUUCCUAUAUAAGUGGUUAUUCUACUCCUA